rnacentral:lncRNA from 1 species
AUGUCCAUGUGUGAUUGUGACUACUGCAAUAAAUACCUCACUCAUGACUCUUCAUCUGUGCAAAAGAUACUCUACAGUGAUAUCUACAAAGAGAAUAUGAAAGACUGCUGUCAGAAUGGGGUGGAAGAGCAGCUCAGAGCCUGAUGGACGAAACAAUGGCUGCACUUCAACAAGGAAAGGUUCCUCCUACUCCAUUCUCUGCCUCUCCCCAGCAGGGGCAAUGAUCCCACCUCCUCGCAAGUCUCCCGGCUCCUCUUUGCCCUGGUAUGAUGCCUGCACCUCCUAUAAGUGGCCAUCCCAUGAUGUCAGUGAUGGGUUCUCCUCCUCCUGGGAUGAUGCCAGUGGGACCUGCUCCUGGAAUGAGGCUGCCAUGGGAGGUCACAUGCCAAUGAUGCCUAGGCCUCCAGUGAUGGAACCUCCUACCUGCUCCGUGAUGAUGCCUGCUGAGCCCAGAAUGACU